GAUCCUGGCUCAGGACGAACGCUGGCGGCGUGCUUAACACAUGCAAGUCGAACGGAGUGUAGCAAUACACUUAGUGGCGGACGGGUGAGUAACACGUGAGCAACCUGCCCUAUACAACGGGAUAACACAGAGAAAUUUGUGCUAAUACGGUAUAAGACCACACUGCGGCAUCGCAGAGGGGUAAAAGCUGAGGCGGUAUAGGAGGGGCUCGCGGCCCAUUAGAUAGUUGGUGAGGUAACGG
rnacentral:rRNA from 1 species